rnacentral:rRNA from 1 species
AUUGAACGCUGGCGGCAGGCCUAACACAUGCAAGUCGAACGAGUGGCGGACGGGUGAGUAAUGUCUGGGCAACUGCCUGAUGGAGGGGGAUAACUACUGGAAACGGUAGCUAAUACCGCAUACCAUCGGAUGUGCCCAGAUGGGAUUAGCUAGGUGGUGGGGUAACGGCUCACGAAGGCGACGAUCCCAUGCUGGUCUAAGAGGAAUACCAGCCACCCUGGAACUGAGAAACGGUGCAGACCCCGACGGGAGGAAGCAGUGGGCAAUAGUGACCAAAAGGCGCAAGCAUGAUGCAGCCAUGCCGAGUGUAUGAAGAAGGCCUUCGGGUUGUAAAGUACUUUCAGCGGGGAGGCGUUACCCGCAGAAGAAGCACCGGCUAACUCCGUGCCAGCAGCCGCGGUAAAU